rnacentral:rRNA from 1 species
CACUGUCACUCCUACGGGAGGCAGCAGUGGGGAAUAUUGCACAAUGGGGGAAACCCUGAUGCAGCCAUGCCGCGUGUGUGUAAGAAGGCCUUCGGGUUGUAAAGCACUUUCAGUAGGGAGGAAGGUAGUGUAGUUAACACCUGCAUUAUUUGACGUUACCUACAGAAGAAGCACCGGCUAACUCCGUGCCAGCAGCCGCGGUAAUACGGAGGGUGCGAGCGUUAAUCGGAAUUACUGGGCGUAAAAGCGCAUGCAGGCGGCCUGUUAAGUCAGAUGUGAAAGCCCGGGGCUUAACCUCGGAAUUGCAUUUGAAAACUGGCAGGCUAGAGUCUUGUAGAGGGGGUAGAAUUUCAGGUGUAGCGGUGAAAUGCGUAGAGAUCUGAAGGAAUACCAGUGGCGAAGGCGGCCCCCUGGACAAAGACUGACGCUCAGAUGCGAAAAGCGUGGGGAGCAAACAGGAUUAGAUACCCUGGUAG